UCGAACAAACAGCGUGUGUUUUACCGCCGCGCGGCGCAGCGCCGGGCAGUACGCUCCUCCGGCUGCGCGGCGCCCGCCCGCCCGGUUACCUGCGCUUCGUCGCCGCCGCCCUCCGCGCUCGCAGCCCCGAAGUGUACGGCCGUUUCCGGGGGCUGAGCCCCGCCGGCCCAUUUAAUCUGCGGGGGCGGGGGCGGGCGCCUGGGCUGAGCUGACCCGCCUCAGGCGAGGCGUGCGGGGCGGGGCCUCGACCGCCAUCCCUCGUGCGGGCGGGGCGGCGACAGGGCAGGUGCGCGCGCAUCCCAGGCCAGCCCCGCCCCUCGGGCACCUGCGCUGGAGGCCGGCCCGCCGGCUGCCUGCCAUACCCGCUGCCGCUGCUCCGCAUCCCCAAUGUCCGGCGGGCACGGGUGCAGCUCCGCGUAGUGCUCCCGCAUCCCCAUCGCCGCCCAGGCCAGGCCCCGCCCCUACUGUCCGGUUUUCCCGCCUGCCUCGGCGGCCUCCCGCACUCGCGGAGGGCUCCGCUUCCGCCGGCAGCGUGGCCACGCCUCCUCUGGGCUGUCCCUCGGCUCCUGGGCGGGGCCUUCUGGCGCGCCGCUCCCCCGGGAACCCUCGCCUGUUCGCGGGUCAAGCCGGCCCUAUUGGGCAGUCUCUUCUUGACUCCUCCCCCGGAGAGGGCGGGGCGGCCGAGCGCCCCGAGGCUAGACGCCGCCGUCCGAGAGACGAGGGGGCGUGUAGGCCGUGACGCCCUGCAAAGUGGCCGGUGUGCUUAUCAUUACCGAGCUUCCGCGGGCCUGCAGAGCCUGGCUGACUCAGAUCUUCUCUCCGGAGCGGGAUGCGGCCUUACCGCGACCUCGCACUUCUCGCCGGCUUCCCGUGUUCCCCGGGGCGGGGCUUGUAUGUUUUUACUUCCGGAUCCCACAGCUAUGACACCGGAAGCCGGAAGCGGGGAUUUCGACAGCGGAGAAGGAAAGGGCGACCGCGGAACUGGAACUUUCUCGGAGCGCCGGGGCCCUACCUGCGUUCACAGUCGGCCGCUCCCACCCUUCUCACGUCUGACGGACUCUGCUGACAGCCCCUGCCCUGUUGGAUGA
rnacentral:lncRNA from 1 species